GACGAACGCUGGCGGCGUGCCUAAUACAUGCAAGUAGAACGCUGAAGGAGGAGCUUGCUUCUCUGGAUGAGUUGCGAACGGGUGAGUAACGCGUAGGUAACCUGCCUGGUAGCGGGGGAUAACUAUUGGAAACGAUAGCUAAUACCGCAUAAUAGUAGAUGUUGCAUGACAUUUACUUAAAAGGUGCAAUUGCAUCACUACCAGAUGGACCUGCGUUGUAUUAGCUAGUUGGUGGGGUAACGGCUCACCAAGGCGACGAUACAUAGCCGACCUGAGAGGGUGAUCGGCCACACUGGGACUGAGACACGGCCCAGACUCCUACGGGAGGCAGCAGUAGGGAAUCUUCGGCAAUAGACGAAAGUCUGACCGAGCAACGCCGCGUGAGUGAAGAAGGUUUUCGGAUCGUAAAGCUCUGUUGUAAGAGAAGAACGAGUGUGAGAGUGGAAAGUUCACACUGUGACGGUAUCUUACCAGAAAGGGACGGCUAACUACGUG
rnacentral:rRNA from 1 species